rnacentral:lncRNA from 1 species
CUUACUGUUUCCUUUAGCCCAGAAGGGUCGGAGCACGAAGGGCAAAACCUCAUUCAACAAGGGGAGCCUGGGAUGGGGAGGGUGCGAACAGCCCAAGUCCCGGGUGCACAGACAUCUCGGAUGGUGGGACAUCCCCAGAGCCCCUCAAGCCGCAGGAAACCUCACCCUGAGCCUUUCCAGUAGGAAGAGCUGUUGAGGGUGGAAGAAUCCCAGAGGCCCAGGAGGGGCACACAAAGUCGGGUUCUUAGAUCCCAGACGCAGAACUCGGCCCGGCUGCAGAUGGAUUUGGGUGAUUCCACCUUCCAAGGGGCAAGAAUCUGAUGCUCCUGGAGCUUUGGUUUCCUGUCCAUUACAUGAGACCUCACCAACUGCAUCGUCCACAGCUCCUGGCCUGCAUCACCAGGCUUGCCCUCACCGCCGUUGCUCAGGUGGCCUUCCUAAGGCUGGAGGCACAGGUUCCCAGGGAGGCGCGCAGGCCUUCUUGGCACCCCAGCCGGUGGGGUGGGGCACUGACCAUAACAACCGAGGCCAUUAUUUGAUUCUUGUCCCUUUUCCUGGAACACUGUACCCCGCUCUUCUCUGCUGGCUCCUCUUGCUAGUCAUCAGCUUGGUGCUCAAACGGUUUCUCCCUGGAGCCUCCCUCUGGCUGAUGAGCCGCCCUCUCCACGUGCCUGCAGCCCAAGGUUGGAGCCCCUCGCCGCGGGCCGCUCCUGGCCCACGGGCUUGUUUGUUUGCCCAGCACCAUGUUUCAG